rnacentral:rRNA from 1 species
GGCAUGCGUGCUACUGACUAGGUCUCUACGUGCGCUGAAGCCCAGGCUUGCUGGGGUGGAUGAGUGGCGAACGGGUGAGUAACACGUGAGUAACCUGCCCAUCACUCUGGGAUAAGCGCUGGAAACGGCGUCUAAUACUGGAUACGAGCAGCGACCGCAUGGUCAGUUGCUGGAAAGACUGGUUCGGUGAUGGAUGGACUCGCGGCCUAUCAGCUUGUUGGUGAGGUAAUGGCUCACCAAGGCGACGACGGGUAGCCGGCCUGAGAGGGUGACCGGCCACACUGGGACUGAGACACGGCCCAGACUCCUACGGGAGGCAGCAGUGGGGAAUAUUGCACAAUGGGCGCAAGCCUGAUGCAGCAACGCCGCGUGAGGGAUGACGGCCUUCGGGUUGUAAACCUCUUUUAGUAGGGAAGAAGCCUUCGGGUGACGGUACCUGCAGAAAAAGCACCGGCUAACUACGUGCCAGCAGCCGCGGUAAUACGUAGGGUGCAAGCGUUGUCCGGAAUUAUUGGGCGUAAAGAGCUCGUAGGCGGCUUGUCGCGUCUGCUGUGAAAACCCGAGGCUCAACCUCGGGCCUGCAGUGGGUACGGGCAAGCUAGAGUGCGGUAGGGGAGAUUGGAAUUCCUGGUGUAGCGGUGGAAUGCGCAGAUAUCAGGAGGAACACCGAUGGCGAAGGCAGAUCUCUGGGCCGUAACUGACGCUGAGGAGCGAAAGCAUGGGGAGCGAACAGGAUUAGAUACCCUGGUAGUCCAUGCCGUAAACGUUGGGAACUAGAUGUAGGGCCUGUUCCACGGGUUCUGUGUCGUAGCUAACGCAUUAAGUUCCCCGCCUGGGGAGUACGGCCGCAAGGCUAAAACUCAAAGGAAUUGACGGGGGCCCGCACAAGCGGCGGAGCAUGCGGAUUAAUUCGAUGCAACGCGAAGAACCUUACCAAGGCUUGACAUAUAGAAGAACGGGUCAGAAAUGAUUCACUCUUUGGACACUUCUAUACAGGUGUGGCAUGGUUGUCGUCAGCUCGUGUCGUGAGAUGAUUCGGGUUAAGUCCGGCAACGAGCGCAACCCUC